ACCAACUGAGCUCAGUUGCUAGAGCACUCCACUAGAAAUGGAGAGGUCCCGGAUUCGAUACCCGGACAGGGCA
rnacentral:tRNA from 1 species